UACGGGGGGAGCAAGCGUUGUUCGGAUUUACUGGGCGUAAAGGGCGCGUAGGCGGUCAGCACAAGUCAGUUGUGAAAUCUCCGGGCUUAACCCGGAAAGGUCAACUGAUACUGUGCGACUAGAGUGCGGAAGGGGCAACUGGAAUUCUCGGUGUAGCGGUGAAAUGCGUAGAUAUCGAGAGGAACACCUGCGGCGAAGGCGGGUUGCUGGGCCGACACUGACGCUGAAGCGCGAAAGCCAGGGGAGCGAACGGA
rnacentral:rRNA from 1 species